CUGGUAGAUACAAAUACAAUUGAUUUUUAAAAUAUUGAAUUGUAUACUGUGAACUUACUAAACUCCCAUAUUACUUCUAGUUCCUUUUAGGUAGAUUCCUUAAGAUUUCCUGUAAUCAUGUGACUUUCAAAUAAAGACAGUUUUAUGUUUCCUUUCUGAUCUGUAUGCCUUUUAUUUCUUUUUCUUCCUGGUGAAGAAUAGGGCAGGUACUCAAGCCUGUCUGGAAUGGCUUGAGUGAAAGAAGAGACAGGUGGCUUUGGUUUUUAUUGGGGCUAGGGUUGGGGCCAGGAUAAAUGUUACUUCUGGCUAACGUUUGCAUGUUUUGAAUAUUCUGCCGGUGCCAAGGGAGACAGUGUGUGGAUCUUCUUCUGGCUUACUCAGAUGUGGAGCAAAAAGGGGAAGUGGAAGGAGUAAGGCUUGAAAGCUGUCAGAGGUUAAACAUCAAAACUGGAGUCAGACUCUUUAUUAUAAUUUGAUUUGCUAAAAUGAUUUCAAGGAAAUUGGACCAUUAGCAAUGGGAAUUUCAAAGUUGGUGGUCUAGGAACAGGAUCACUACAUUGGUUUGUGAUUUUAAUUUUAUCUAGAUGGCCUAUAGGACCUUUAAGGAAUUUAAUGACGUAGACAACAAGAAAAUAAUGUUGCCAGCAGUAUGCUAUCAGAUGUAAGUUCUACCCUAUCACCUAAAGACCCUUCCCCUGCUUAGUCCUCUUUAAUCUGGCUUUAUUUUAAGAGGUGGAUAUAAUGUCAGACAAGUGUUCUUUAGGCCAUCAAUUAUUAUCUUCUUAUCAGGCCAACCCCAUCACUAAUUUCUUGGUUGGGAAAUCUAAUAAUUUUUUGUUUAUAUUUUCAUGCAGACUAGAAAGAUUAUUAUUAGAGUUGAUUUUACCCAUCACUGAAUGAGUCUUCAAUAACUUGAUUUUCUAUUGUCUUUAAUAAUAACAUGACUCCCUUACCCUCCCCCUUCUCCCUUAGAUUCAGAGAGCUCGGCACUUAGGGCAACUUCAGUCAUUCCCACAUUUGAAACCAACUCAUCACUUGCAUUCUUGAACUUCCUCCAACCAAAUUACUAAAAGAAUGUAUUCCUGAGGCAAUUAAUCUGGUAAUUACACUGAUUUUUGCCUUUUUCUAGUGACAGGUGUUAGCACCAUGGCAAUUAUGACUUACUGGGAAAAGAAAAUCCUAAAUCAAAUUCUGCCCAGAACCUACAUACCCAGGCUGUCUGGGGUUUGCCAUAUUUAUUAAUGCUAGAGGAAAGAGGCCCUGUUUUCUGAGUCACCACUCAUUUAAAGACAUUCCCUAUACACACUGUCUGUCCUGCGUAGGGAAUGCUGCAUUUAUUUGGAUUAAUGCAUUUAUUUGGAAUCUUCCCAGUUGCUAAGGGCAACAAAGACCAUGUGUCCUCCCUAGCUGAGUUAGCCUUGCAGAGCAGCACAGCUGGACUUGCAUUCAAGGGUGGUAUUUCUUUCAUUUGUAGGGAGGUUAGCAAUUCCCUGACCAGAGAGCAAAUAACACUAAAACUGUGAAUACCUCAAAUUUCUCUGCCUUCCACAGACAAGAUGUUUUGAAACAAUGUGCCUUCAAGAACUUAGAAUCUCACUGGGGAGACAAGAUGGACAGAUGACUACGGAAGUUUGAAUUGGAACGACAAUUUGAGAAAGCUUCAAAGAAGAGGCCAUAUGAGAUGGCCUUGAAUCACAAGUUGGAAUUUGAAUAAUGGAAACUGUAAGGAAAGAAGGGACCUGGCACUGCAGGUAUUUACUUGCAAGGAGACAGCAAUAGUAGUUCUGAGCAGUCACCUGUGACAUCUCCAGUGGAGUCUGGAAAAGACAUGUGGAUUCACUUAUAUGAAUAAACGCACGAUGAACAACAACAACAAAAAUGUGUUUGAUCUGGUACCAACUGAGUCAAACUUUACAAAUAUCCAGGGGAGCACAUGAUAGAUGAAGAUGUCAGAGCAUUGGUUAGAACCCCAGAGAAAAGUUACCCAUGAUUGGACAUAAGCUGACAAUUGGAUUUCUGGAGGUGACAGCCUUGGUUACACAACCUCCUUCUUACCUCUAUACUUCUACCUACCUCUCUCCCGCUAUAUUUCAUGCCUAUAGGAGUCAUUGAUGGCAAAACACAGGACAGCUCCUGAUUCCAGCAGCAGCACAAGCCUCUGUCCUAUAUUCAGACUCUAUUCACAGGGGCAGCUUUCCUGGGUCAUUGGUUCUAAGAGCAAGGUCUGCAGGCUGAAUUCUCCAGGCAUGGCCUUUGUGGGUAAUAAUACAGUAUUUUGAGAGGUGAUGUUAUUUAUCAUAUCAUAAUGUGUUGCAUAGUGAGGCUGAGGAAGCAGCAUUGAACAGCAAAACCAGGAGACCUGGGUUUGCAUUUUAGUUUUAUUUCUAAUUUGCUAGUGCAACUUCUCUGGAACUGAGUUUACUCAAUUGUAAAAUGACAAAGUUAGACUAGGUCAUUGUUUCUAGACAGUGUUCACUACCUGCAUUAGGCUCACAAUGCUCGUACAAUGCAGAUUCCUGGGCCCAGCUGGCUCCCAUUGAAUCAGAAUUUUGUGGUGUGGCCCUGCAAUCUGCAUUUGUAACACUCCCCAUCUCUAGGUGAUCAAAACUUUGAGAAAUACACUAUUGGACUAAAUAUCUCUCUAUGCCUCCUUUGUAGUCUUUAGUCUUCUAAUCCUCAGGUUGGUGCUUCCAAAGGAAAAACUCUCCCUCUCCCGUGGGAAUGGCUGAUGGCUGUUCUAGGGUAUUUUGUCCAACUAAACUCUUUUGUAGAUAAAACAUUUUGGAACUGAAUUAUCUCCAGUACUUUAGGUUAAGAAGAUUGCCUACAUCUCAGAGAGAAAUGAAAACAGUGUCCUUGGGGGGAGAAAACUUCACAAGGUUUGAAAACACAAGUGUCCUUGGACUACAUUCUUCUUCAGUCACCUUCAGAAGAAUCACUUGAAGGUCCUACCUUCCUCUUCGUGGGAGACGGAUGGAUCAGUUUGCACCGAGACCCCGCAGCCAGGCAACUCAGCUCUGUAGGCUCUGAUUCCACACUGCGAAGAUUCACUUCUUCCUUGCCUCCUCAGACUGAACAUGGGCGUGACAAACCACAUGACACCAUUGGUAGGGAUUGUAGCUGUGGAAAGUCAGUUCACAGUCUGAUACCUCAGAGAGCCUUAUUUUAGAGUUUGUGGGGUUUGGUGUACAUAAUUUAUUUUUUUGGUCUUAAGCAAGAACCUGGAUAUGGGUUUUUCUCUUUCUGACUGUCAAAACAAAACGGGGUUCAAUUAUUUCUCUCCUUUAAAUGACUUAUGAUCUUCGCCUCAUUUUAUCUGGACUUAAUUGAGCUUGCUAGGAUCAUUGUGAAUACAAAGCAGCUGGAGGAGCUUGGGUGCAGCCAGACGAAUUGGAGCGUUGGGUUUCUUUUCUCUAGCAUAUACAGUGGUGGUUCUCAGCAGGGACAGUUUACCCUCUAGGACACAUUCCGCAGUGAAUGGGGAUAGUUUUGCUUGUCACAACUGGGGCAGUGCUACUGGCAUCUCCUGGGCAGAGGCCAGGGAUGCUGCCAAACAGCUACAAUGCACAGGUCAGCCCCCCCUCUCCCAACAAAGAGUUAUCUGGCUCAAAAUGUCAACAGUCUCAAGGCUGAAAAACGCUAAUAUUCAGUAACUAAAGUAAUAAUUUAUAUAUUUUGGGGUAGGGACACAUCCAUAAUGCCAGAAGGAGUGAAGGAUGGAGAAGUAAAGGAGGGGUGGCUUUGAUAUGGAAUGUCUGACACAACUUAAAAUGGAAAUAAAGUCUAAUUUCUAGGACAAGUUCAGGCUCACUUAUGUGCUUAGAACAGAUUUUGAAAAGGACCCAGGAGGGAACUGUAGGCUGAGUUGAAUAUAAAGACACAGGCCCAUUAAUUUUAGGCCAGGUGAGGACACAAGACAAGUUUCAUUUGUCAACAGAGCUAUAGUAAACAUCUUAACACAGUUUGUCUUUCUAAUGACAGUGAUUUUAACAAAAAAUGAUGUUUAUUUCUUUCUUUGAAAAGUUACAUUUCAAAGAUUCUAGAGUAUCUCAAAUCUAGAAUAUCUUCCCAUCCCUUCAAGUUUUCUUAGGCUGUUAAAAGCAUCACGUAGUUAACUGCUAGCUAUAAAGGGAGCUUGAUUGAAGGUGCUUGUUCCUAUUGAUGUCGCUUUACUUUCCACCUGCACUGGUUGUUUUCUCUGCUCCACCUCCAAUCCCUUCUCUUCCCUGAGCACCAGGAAACUCCCUUGUUCCCUGGUUUCUGGAUGGAUUUGGCUAAUGAGAGACACUGGCAAGAAACUGGAGGGCAAGAGGAAAAAGAAGUCCGAGGUGCUUACCCCAGUUCUCAUCCACCCUGCCGCACAGCAGUCUGGCAGUGGCUGUUCCUCUAAGACCCAGCUUCUUUGGGACAGCCAUUCUUCCUCCAGCGAUGUCAAGCUCUGGAAACCCUGUGUUUCCCCUGCUCCUCCAGACGUAGGAGUAGUAAAGGCUUUUCGCUCUUGUUACUCCCUAGAGGCCCUACCAUCUCUUUUUAGUUCCCUUAACUCAGAACGCUACUCUCUAAAUAAUCCCUUCAUUCAAUUCUUUUCAGUUAAGCUCUCUUGAGUGUAUCAUCUGUUUUGUGUUAGGCCUCUCACUAAUGCAGUACCUACCAAAUUUUUAGUGGAAAGAUAUUGAUUUUGUAUGAAAUAUUCAAGUAAUAUUGAAUUGGAGGCCAGAAGACUUGCACUCUUGUCCCAGUUCUUCUAGGUAGCGCUUUCCUUCUGAAGACUCACUGAGACUUAUUCCCUCAUCUAUUAAAUAAGGAUGAAAAAUGUCUUAUGUACAUGUUAUGAGAAUGAAAUUAAUGUAUACAGUUUGAAAACAUUAAGCUCUGAAAAUUAGAAGCCACCUGGCCUGUUGGCAAGGAGACUAGCAACACAUAUUCUAAUUCUAGCCUCCAGUUAUUUAGGACUCUAACUUUGUGUGUAUAUUUUGGUUGUCUGGGAUUCCUUUUCCCCAUAAUAAACAUGCUGAUUAGAUUAGAUGAUCUUCCUGGUUCUUCCUAGCUUCAAAAAAUUUCACAAUCUUUAUAUAUUCUGUUUUCAUUGUUCUAGACUAUUUGGCAGAAUGACCUGUAAAAACAAAUAUGAGAAUGUGGAGAAAAAAGGUAAAUAGAAGUUUUCUAGAGAAAAGAAAAUUUGAAAUAUUCUAAAUAACAGUUAAAAGAUGGAUUUAACUUCCAUGUGGUUACAAAUGGGAGAAUCAGGACAAUUGGGUAGAUGUUAUAGGUGAUAGCUGUAAGUACAAGGAAUGGACAAGCCUUUCUAAUGUUUAGACUGCUUCAAUAGUGGAGGGUAAUAGACUGGCUUCCAGGGAGGUGUCUUGCCCAUCACUGGGAUUGUUCAAGCAGAGACAUACUUAUUUCUCAGGAAUACUGUAGAGAAGCUUCCUGUGACGAUAUGAGAUUGGACAUUGCAGUCACAUGAUUUAAUGAAGUAAUGGUUAGGUACGUCACAAAUAUAGAGGGAUUGUUCAGGAAUGUUAAAGAACUGUGAUUCUUUGUUUUCAAGAAAAGAAGACAAUGGCAACAGGAAAGGAGAAGAUAUAAAGCAUUAUUAUAUAAGCAGGAUACUGUCAUACGGUCUUUUAUGUUUGCGGAGAAUCAGGAAGAAAACAGCAGGGUUUAGAUUCCAGCAAUGAUUAUUUUUUUGUUUAAGCUAUUAGAAAAAAUCCAUCGUAAUAGUAAUCAAACAAUCCCUUUAUCAGAGCACUUCCAGUUUGUUUCUUAAGUGUUUAAUGAACUCCUUUUAUACACCAAACAUGUGCUGAGAUCAAAUAGAGACUGGGUUUUAAAAAGCCAUGAAGAUUUUAUGGGGGAAAAUGACAUCAUGCAAUACAAUGCUGUUUUGAUUUUUAUUAUUAUUAUUUCUUGUUUUUUAUUGCAGUGACAUUGGAUUAUAAUAUUAUAUAACUUCCAGGUGUACCUCAUAGCAUGUUUCGAAUUCUGUGUAGAUUACAUCAUGUUCAAUGCUGUUUUUAUUAUUCGCAUUUUCUAGAGGGAGAAGCCCUUAUAAAAACUAUAAAGUUUGCCUUUCAUAUCACUUCACUCUUCUUUCCAGUUAUUUCCCUCCUUCUUUUAGCAACGCUUCCUCAUUCAUUUGACAGAUAUUCAUUAAAUAUGUACUAGGUGCAGGUACUAUUCAAGACUAUAGGUAUACAGAGACAAAGUGAUCAGUGCCUUGAAUCUGCAUUUUAUUUCUGAUUAUCUAAAUUCUAAAAUGAGUCUGCCUCAUCAGAGGCCCAAUCCCGGUCUGCCCCCAGCAACACUCAACACUAUGUUGCCAACUCUGUUUCUCACAGUUAUUUGUUUCCCAGGAUGGAAGGCAUGCCAAUAACUAAGGUUGGGGAGACUAAGCAUCAGCACUUAAUAUACUGGCAACAUUCACAUCUCCCCACCUUAACUAAAAAGGAACCUGAUACAUUGAAAUACAUGGUAUUAUGGACUGAAUUGUAUUCCCCUAAAAUUCAUAUGUUGAAGUCCUAACUCCCAGUACCUCAGAAUGUGGUUGUAUUUGGAGAUAGGGCCUUUAAAGAGGUGAUUAAUGUAAAAUGAGAUCGUAUCGAUGAGCCCUAAUCCAGUAUGACUGCUGUCCUUAUAAGAA